rnacentral:rRNA from 1 species
UACGAAGGGGGCUAGCGUUGCUCGGAAUGACUGGGCGUAAAGGGCGCGUAGGCGGCUUGCACAGUCAGGCGUGAAAUUCCUGGGCUCAACCUGGGGACUGCGCUUGAGACGUGUGGGCUUGAGUGGGGAAGAGGGUCGUGGAAUUCCCAGUGUAGAGGUGAAAUUCGUAGAUAUUGGGAAGAACACCGGUGGCGAAGGCGGCGACCUGGUCCUUGACUGACGCUGAGGCGCGAAAGCUAGGGGAGCAAACAGG